AUGCUUACUUGUCAGGGGAGAUACUAUGGUUGUGAAGGUGUUUUUCCCAGGGUGAGCCUUAUCCAUUGCACUUUGGAUAUGCUGACCCCUGUGAGUUCUCCAAAUGGGGAAACUUGACUGCAUAAUUUGUGGUAGUGGGAGACUGCAUUCAUGCUUUCUCCAA